rnacentral:tRNA from 1 species
GCCGAGGUGGCGGAACAGGCAGACGCGACGGACUUAAAAUCCGUUGGGCUUCGGUCCUUGCGGGUUCGAAUCCCGCCCUCGGCACCA